rnacentral:rRNA from 1 species
GAUUAACGCUAGCGGCAGGCCUAAUACAUGCAAGUCGAACGGCAGCGGGUGUAGCAAUACAUGCCGGCGAGUGGCGCACGGGUGCGUAACACGUAUGCAAUCUACCUUUAACCGGGGAAUAACUCUUCGAAAGAAGAGCUAAUACCGCAUAACACCACGAGAGGACAUCCUUUUGUGGUCAAACCUCCGGGGGUUAAAGAUGAGCAUGCGCCCGAUUAGUUAGUUGGCGAGGAACGGCUCACCAAGACUACGAUCGGUAGGGGUUCUGAGAGGAAGAUCCCCCACACUGGUACUGAGACACGGACCAGACUCCUACGGGAGGCAGCAGUAAGGAAUAUUGGACAAUGGGCGCAAGCCUGAUCCAGCCAUGCCGCGUGCAGGAUGAAGGUGCUAUGCACUGUAAACUGUCUUUUA